rnacentral:lncRNA from 1 species
UGCUUGAGUGGGACAUCUCCAAAGGACCAAUCACAUCAUCACUGAUAUUGCAUCUCACUUUUUACUUGAGUUUGUUGCAUGGAAAAGUAAUUCAUCUCUUUGAAUAUGUUUCAUAAGAAAAACAGAACUCUUCUAAUUCUCUUCCAAGAAACCCUGGGGCAAUAGUAAAUUCUGCAUCCAAAAUUUGAAAGGAAUUUUUUACAACUUGA